UUCUAGUCCACAAAAGGUGUUAGGAUGUUCUCUGCUAAUUUUCAUACUUCAGUGCAAGAACCGAGUUGCCCUGUGCUUCCUGGGUAUGUGGGAAGGAGCUGCCUCAAAACCCGAAGAUGCAACCCCAGGAACGGUGUGCCUUGGCUUGCAAUGCUCUUUCUAGCAGGCCCCGUGCUGCUACAUGAAUUGGAAAGUGAAAACUACAGAUUGAUUUUUUGGUCUCCAAAGCUGAAUGAAACUGAAAGAGUGAAAGAAACCACAGGCAACCCGACAGCUGUCAGUUGGGGCACUCUUGAGGAAACACACGGCCGCUUCUCCAGGGAGAAGAACGAUAGUUCAGCUCUUCUGAGACUCUGUGGUUCAAGGCCACGACAGCUUUCUGCCCUGUGAAUCCUUUCAGCUGCUUUUUCUACCUGCCUUAUUUCAAAUGCUAACCAUUUUAAAACUACUCAGCUGAAGGUCUAGCAAUGAAAAUGGAAAGAUCACUGCUAUUCCAAAGCCUGUGGUGUGGCUGAAACAAGACAAAGCAUCCUGCAUCGCUGCCAGCAUCACGGGGAAUUUUGGAGCAGUGCUCUCCAAACAGCAAGGUAUUGCUGACCACUGACAAUCAUUUCAACACCUCAUAGAUGCGAAAUAGGAC
rnacentral:lncRNA from 1 species